rnacentral:lncRNA from 1 species
CUGCAGCCCUGGGGCCCGGGAGGACUGCGGCCGCGGAACGUCGUAGAGGAUCAGGGAAGGUUCAGGGUCGACCUCCAGACUCAGUCCUUGGGUUGGGUGGCAGGGUGGGGGCACUAGGGUGGGGAGAUCUCGAGUUUAGGCCAUAAAAAAGAUCAGAAAGAGAAGAGCCCGAGAGAGAGGUGGCCCACCUUGGCCCCGGAGCUUGGGAGGGCGGGUCCCGGCUGGGGUUCGUGGGAUCUGGACCCACUCGCCCCCCGGGACGCGAGCGCGGCGGGGACCGGGCGCGCGAGGCUGCGCCGAGAGAGGGCGCCGGCCCAGGUGCGGCCUCUGGGUGUGGCCGAAGCCAGCCCAGGCGGCCCGGAUUGUCGUCCUCUGCGGAAGCGGCCCGGGCGCGGGAGCCGCGGGCGUAGCCAGCUCCGGAGCCCCGCGCCUCCGCCGCCCCGCGCGCCCUUCCUUUGUGUCUCCCAAGCAGGGGUGAACGCAGACCACUUGGAUUUGAUUUUUCCGUGCGAGUUCCCUUUUUUCCAAGUUCGGGGCCCCUCCUUCCCCCAGCGGCGCGCGCCCCCGGGGUGUCCGCCCCCUCCCCCUCCGGCCCAGCCCUGGGCGGGGCAGACGCCCUUGGAGUCGGGAGAAAAGACUAUCUGAUUUCAAAACCGACGCGACCCGAGCUGGGCUGCGGAAAUGGCGCCCAUGUCCCGGCUCCGGCCAGGUCGUGAUCAGGAGACAGACUGAGGAGCCUCUCCCCACCGCAAUCCCUUUAUACUGGGUAGGGGUUCGAAGGCACAGGGACAGAGUAUACAGGACACUGCUUGAGGCAGCGCGUCCACCCACCAUCUGUGCGACCUCAUCAAGUCACCUCUCUGAGCCUCAGUUUCCCGGUAUAAUGGAAACGGCAAUUUUAAAUGACACGUAAGUGCCUGGCACUCAUUGAGCUCAUCAAAUGAAGAGCCCCGUCUCUGGGCCCCCUUGCCCCUGAGGGAAAUGCACACACAAACCUAGAAAAUGUGCUGUAAUGCACAAUGUGGGACAGACCCAGUCACUCUCCUUUCAUUCUUCUUCCAUCGAAUAUUCUGAGGCUUCGGCGCCAGCCCUUUGCCGGCGGAUGCUGCCGAGAUGAAGACAGCAUGCUCGGCCUGGUGAAGCCAAUAAAAGAGCAGGCUCCCCUCCUGGGGCCAGGUGUCACCACAGAAGCAGGCCCUGGAAGAUGCCAGGAGCCAGCCAGCCCAGGGCCCUGUCCUACCCCCGGCCCUUCCGCGGGCGAGAGCCCAGGAUCUCCAGGUCCUGCCCUGCACUUGGAGAUUUGCUCCCUAACAGGUUUUUGGUUUUGUUUUUUUGAAUAGAGGCGGGGUUUUGCCGUGUUGCCCAGGCUGGUCUCAAACUCCUGGGCUCAAGCAAUCCUCCUGCCUCAGCCUCCCCAAAUUCUGGAAUUACAGGCGUGAGCCACAUGCCCAGUCUGUUGUUUUUCCUUUCUUUUCUUUUCUUUCUUUCUUUCUUUUUUUAGAGACGGUCUCUCUUGCCUCACUUUUUUUUUUUUUUUUUUUGAGACAGUGUCUUACUCAGUUCACCCAGGCUGGAGUGCAGUGGCGUGGUUUUGGCUCACUGCAACCUCUGCCGCCCAGGUUCGAGCAAUUCUCCUACCUCAGCCUCCCGAGUAGCUGGGAUUACAGGCACCUGCCACAGCGCCCUGCUAAUUUUUGUAUUUUUAGUAGAGACGGGGUUUCACCAUAUUGGUCAGGCUGGUCUUGAACUCCUGACCUCGUGAUCCACCUGCUUUGGCCUCCCAAAGUGCUGGGAUUACAGGUGUGAGCCACCACACCUGGCUCGCCUCACAUGUUUUUAAAAGAUCCAGUGUCCUGAUGGCUCUUGGUGCUCUUCCCAGAUGAUGGUAAAAUGCUCAGUGUGGACCAAGAGAAGCCUGACCCUGACAAACAUCCUUUUUUCUUUACACAUCUGAAUUUUGAUGAGCUCUGAAGGGAACUCGAUUUCUCCGCAGCCGUCCUGAGUUCUGUGGUGCUUAGUGUCUGAUGCCUUCAUCUUCCUUUAGUUUCAACACUGUGUAUAACUUAGUCCUCUCCAGGACCUGUCCCCCAGCUCUGGGGAGGGACCAAAGCUGUACAGUAGGUGAAUAGUGAGUAACUGGAUGAAGUGUUCUUUUGUCUCUCUGAAUGCUCCCCAGAGCCAUAAGGAAUUAAUAAUCUUGGCUACUGGGCUGGGAGCAGUGGCUCACACCUGUAAUCCCAGCACCUUGGCAAGCCAAGAUGGGAGGAUUGCUUGAGGCCAGGAGUUCGAGACCAGCCUGGGCAACAGUGAGGCCCUGUCUCUACAACAAACAAGCAAACAAACAAACAAGAACAACAAAAAAACUCAGCUACCACUUCAUGAGUAUCUAUGCUGCGCCAGGGACUACUUCAGGUUCUCCACCUGGUACAAGAAGAGUGGCCCAGAGAAAGGUCAGUUUAAGGCAACUGGAUUUCCCAAGUCCCAAAGCAGGAAAUCUGGUCUGACAAGCACGGGAUUCUCGUCUGAAAUUAGCCCAGCCCUGGAAAACCUGUGGCUGGGGGUUGCUGUCAUCAGAAAGAACCUGUACUUCCGGGUUUGUUUUGGUUGGGAAGGAAGGAGCUGGAGCAGCCAACCUGGCUUCUCAGAGCUUCCAUAUUUAACCCAUCAGGGCCCAAGGCUCCCAGGUGUAGAAGCGACUUUAGAGAUACCUAUGAGGAAACAGAAGCUCCAAGAAGGUAAAGACCUUCUCCCAGGCCACAGAGCCAGUAAAUGGCUGAGCCAGGGUUAGGAGGAAGGAAACUAACAUUUCUAUAGCACGUGCCCUAAAUCCAGAGCCUCACCCUGCAAAGGAGGUGUUAGUAACCCCAUUCUGCUCAUGAGAUUCAGAGAAGCUUAGUGAGUGGCCGAUAUCACCAAGCUACUAAAAGGCAGAGAUACUAUUAAAAUAUAGGCCUACAGCUGGGCGUGGUGGCUCACACCUGUAAUUCCAGCACUUUGGGAGGCUGAGGCGGGUGGAUCACGAGGUCAGGCAUUCGAGACCAGCCUGGCCAACAUGGUGAAAAUCUGUCACUACUAAAUAUACAAAAAUCAGCCUGGCGUGGUGGCGUGUGCCUGUAAUCCCAGCUACUCAG